ACCUGCCCAUUGAGAUUUAAAAGGCCGCGGUAUUAUGACCGUGCUAAGGUAGCAUAAUCAUUAGUCUUUUAAUUGAAGGCUGGUAUGAAUGGUUGGACAAGAGAUAAGCUGUCUCGAGCAAAAAUAUUGAAUUUAACUUUUAAGUGAAAAGGCUUAAAUUUUCUAGGGGGACGAUAAGACCCUAUAAAACUUUAUAUUUUAAAAAUAUUAAUUAAUUUUGUAUGAGAAGGCUAUUUUUAAAUAUUUUAUUGGGGUGAUAGGAAUAUAAUAAAAGAUAACUGUUUCUUUUUUUUUACAGAGGUGUUUGAGUAAAAGAUCCUAAUUAGGGAAAGAAGGUUAAGUUACUUUAGGGAUAACAGCGUAAUUUUCUUUAAGAGUUCUUAUCAACAGGANAGUUUGCGACCUCGAUGUUGAAUUAAAAGUUCUUUAUGGAGCAGAAACUAUAAUAGAAAGNCUGUUCGACCUUUAAAAUUUACAUGAUUUGAGUUCAAACCCGGUGUAAACCAAGGUUGG
rnacentral:rRNA from 1 species